rnacentral:rRNA from 1 species
UACGUAGGGGGCAAGCGUUACCCGGAUUUACUGGGCGUAAAGAGCGCGUAGGCGGCUCAACAAGUCUCCUGUGAAAUCUUCUGGCUUAACUGGAAGAGGUCAGGGGAUACUGUUGGGCUUGAGGGCAGCAGAGGAAGACGGAAUUCCCGGUGUAGCGGUGAAAUGCGUAGAUAUCGGGAGGAACAUCAGUGGCGAAGGCGGCUACCUGGCCCAAUACUGACACUCAGGUGCGACAGCGUGGGGAGCAAACAGG